rnacentral:lncRNA from 1 species
CCAUAAACCAGCAGCACAAAUCAACAAAAACACAGGCCACAAAAAGUUCUCCCUUUUCCUCCUCUUGGUUGAUUUCCCUCUCCAGCCACCAAUGAGACGGUUGAUAAUCCGAUGUUCAUUCGAAUUGCUUCGCGCGAUUUCUCCGACGAGCGAAUUCAAGGGUUCCGGCAAGAUUUUGAGAUUAAAUGCGAUGGUGGAAGCUAGUUGAAGAAUCUUUCGAUUCGACGAUAGGGGCCACCCUCUUCGCCUGCUGGCGCACACGAUUUGUUGGUGUGUUGGAGUUGGAUGGGAAUAUAAAAGGUGAAGCGAUUUAGGAUUGCGGAGAGGAGAAUUGGCGUUGAUUUUAGAGAAUGGAAAUGGAAGAGUGCGAUUUGAAAUUGAAGGAAUGGAGUGGGUUGUGUAAGUGUAGG